rnacentral:rRNA from 1 species
CUAAGGCUCCAGAGGAAGCCACGGCUAAUUCUGUGCCAGCAGCCGCGGUAAUACAGAGGCGGCAAGCGUUGUUCGGAAUUAUUGGGCGCAAAGAGCACGUAGGCGGCCUUGCAAGUCAGUUGUGAAAGCCUUCCGCUUAACGGAAGAAUGCCAGCUGAUACUACAGGGCUUGAGUACGGGAGGGGAGAGUGGAACUUCUGGUGGAGCGGUGAAAUGCGUAGAUAUCAGAAGGAACGCCGGCGGCGAAAGCGACUCUCUGGCCCGAAACUGACGCUGAGUGUGCGAAAGCUAGGGGAGCAAACGGGAUUAGAUACCCCGGUAGUCCUAGCCGUAAA